rnacentral:rRNA from 1 species
UACGAGGGGGGCAAGCGUUGUUCGGAAUUAUUGGGCGUAAAGAGCGUGUAGGCGGCCAGGUAGGUCAGCUGUGAAAACUCGAGGCUCAACCUCGAGACGCCGGUUGAAACCAUCUGGCUAGAGUCCGGAAGAGGAGAGUGGAAUUCCUGGUGUAGCGGUGAAAUGCGCAGAUAUCAGGAAGAACACCCGUGGCUAAGGCGGCUCUCUAGUACGGUACUGACGCUGAGACGCGAAAGCGUGGGGAGCGAACAGG